CCUUUGAUUGUGUGCACUUGUUCGUACUGAAAUUAAACUUUUUGAAUUUACAGGUAUCUGAAACUGAUAUUUUCUUUUUUCCCCCAUUCAUGCAGAGCUCUGCACUUGGAUUUUUACUUGCCCAAAAACACUUCACAAAUCCCCUUGUUGCUGUGCCUUCUGCUGUCAGUGUUGUUUGCAUGGCACUUGGUGGGAGUGCUCUUGCUGUAUUUUGGAGGAACAAGCCGGUUCCAGCAAAUGAUAAGGACGAUUUCAAGGAAUGAACAGUCUUUCGCCUUCUGCAUUUGUAUAUUCUACUUUGACUUGGUAAAUUCUUU